rnacentral:rRNA from 1 species
UACGAAGGGGGCUAGCGUUGUUCGGAUUUACUGGGCGUAAAGCGCACGUAGGCGGAUCGUUAAGUUAGGGGUGAAAUCCUGGAGCUCAACUCCAGAACUGCCUCUAAUACUGGCGAUCUAGAGUCCGGAAGAGGUGAGUGGAACUCCUAGUGUAGAGGUGGAAUUCGUAGAUAUUCGGAAGAACACCAGUGGCGAAGGCGGCUCACUGGUCCGGUACUGACGCUGAGGUGCGAAAGCGUGGGGAGCAAACAGG